GAUGAACGCUGGCGGCGUGCUUAACACAUGCAAGUCGAACGAAGCACUUUAUUUGAUUUCCUUCGGGACUGAUUAUUUUGUGACUGAGUGGCGGACGGGUGAGUAACGCGUGGGUAACCUGCCUUGUACAGGGGGAUAAUAGUUGGAAACGGCUGCUAAUACCGCAUAAGCGCACAGCAUCGCAUGAUGCAGUGUGAAAAACUCCGGUGGUAUAAGAUGGACCCGCGUUGGAUUAGCUAGUUGGUGAGGUAACGGCCCACCAAGGCGACGAUCCAUAGCCGACCUGAGAGGGUGACCGGCCACAUUGGGACUGAGACACGGCCCAAACUCCUACGGGAGGCAGCAGUGGGGAAUAUUGCACAAUGGGCGAAAGCCUGAUGCAGCGACGCCGCGUGAGCGAAGAAGUAUUUCGGUAUGUAAAGCUCUAUCAGCAGGGAAGAUAAUGACGG
rnacentral:rRNA from 1 species